rnacentral:rRNA from 1 species
AACGAACGCUGGCGGCAUGCCUAACACAUGCAAGUCGAACGAGACCUUCGGGUCUAGUGGCGCACGGGUGCGUAACGCGUGGGAACCUGCCCUUAGGUUCGGAAUAACUCCCCGAAAGGGGUGCUAAUACCGGAUAAUUUCUUCGGACCAAAGAUUUAUCGCCUUUGGAUGGGCCCGCGUUGGAUUAGCUAGUUGGUAGGGUAAAAGCCUACCAAGGCGACGAUCCAUAGCUGGUCUGAGAGGAUGAUCAGCCACACUGGGACUGAGACACGGCCCAGACUCCUACGGGAAGCAGCAGUGGGGAAUAUUGGACAAUGGGCGAAAGCCUGAUCCAGCAAUGCCGCGUGAGUGAUGAAGGCCUUAGGGUUGUAAAGCUCUUUUACCCGGGAUGAUAAUGACAGUACCGGGAGAAUAAGCACCGGCUAACUCCGUG